rnacentral:rRNA from 1 species
UACGGAGGGAGCGAGCGUUGUUCGGAAUUACUGGGCGUAAAGCGUAUGUAGGCGGCUUUGUAAGACAGGUGUGAAAUCCCAGGGCUUAACCCUGGAACUGCAUUUGUGACUGCGAGGCUGGAGUAUCGGAGAGGUUGGCGGAAUUCCCAGUGUAGAGGUGAAAUUCGCAGAUAUUGGGAGGAACACCGAUGGCGCAAGCAGCCAACUGGACGAUAACUGACGCUGAGAUACGAAAGCGUGGGGAGCAAACAGG